UGCAGUCGAGCGCGCCCUUCGGGGUGAGCGGCGGACGGGUUAGUAACGCGUGGGAAUAUGCCCUUUGGUACGGAAUAGCCUCUGGAAACGGAGAGUAAUACCGUAUGAGCCCUUCGGGGGAAAGAUUUAUCGCCAAAGGAUUAGCCCGCGUUAGAUUAGGUAGUUGGUGGGGUAAUGGCCUACCAAGCCUACGAUCUAUAGCUGGUUUUAGAGGAUGAUCAGCAACACUGGGACUGAGACACGGCCCAGACUCCUACGGGAGGCAGCAGUGGGGAAUCUUGGACAAUGGGGGCAACCCUGAUCCAGCCAUGCCGCGUGAGUGAUGAAGGCCUUAGGGUCGUAAAGCUCUUUCGCCUGUGAAGAUAAUGACGGUAGCAGGUAAAGAAACCCCGGCUAACUCCGUGCCAGCAGCCGCGGUAAUACGGAGGGGGUUAGCGUUGUUCGGAAUUACUGGGCGUAAAGCGCACGUAGGCGGAUCGGAAAGUUGGGGGUGAAAUCCCGGGGCUCAACCCCGGAACUGCCUCCAAAACUAUCGGUCUAGAGUUCGAGAGAGGUGAGUGGAAUUCCGAGUGUAGAGGUGAAAUUCGUAGAUAUUCGGAGGAACACCAGUGGCGAAGGCGGCUCACUGGCUCGAUACUGACGCUGAGGUGCGAAAGUGUGGGGAGCAAACAGGAUUAGAUACCCUGGUAGUCCACACCGUAGACGAUGAAUGCCAGUCGUCGGGUAGCAUGCUAUUCGGUGACACACCUAACGGAUUAAGCAUUCCGCCUGGGGAGUACGGUCGCAAGAUUAAAACUCAAA
rnacentral:rRNA from 1 species